GACGGGGGGGGCAAGUGUUCUUCGGAAUUAUUGGGCGUAAAGGGCUCGCAGGCGGUUUCUUAAGUCUGAUGUGAAAGCCCCCGGCUCAACCGGGGAGGGUCAUUGGAAACUGGGGAACUUGAGUGCAGAAGAGGAGAGUGGAAUUCCACGUGUAGCGGUGAAAUGCGUAGAGAUGUGGAGGAACACCAGUGGCGAAGGCGACUCUCUGGUCUGUAACUGACGCUGAGGAGCGAAAGCGUGGGGAGCGAACAGG
rnacentral:rRNA from 1 species